GAUGAACGCUGGCGGCAUGCUUUACACAUGCAAGUCGAACGGCAGCGCGGGCUUCGGCCUGGCGGCGAGUGGCGAACGGGUGAGUAAUACAUCGGAACGUGCCCAGUAGUGGGGGAUAGCUCGGCGAAAGCCGGAUUAAUACCGCAUACGACCUGAGGGUGAAAGCGGGGGAUCUUCGGACCUCGCGCUAUUGGAGCGGCCGAUGGCAGAUUAGCUAGUUGGUGGGGUAAAGGCCUACCAAGGCGACGAUCUGUAGCUGGUCUGAGAGGACGACCAGCCACACUGGGACUGAGACACGGCCCAGACUCCUACGGGAGGCAGCAGUGGGGAAUUUUGGACAAAGGGCGAAAGCCUGAUCCAGCAAUGCCGCGUGUGUGAUGAAGGCCUUCGGGUUGUAAAGCACUUUUGGCGGGAACGAAAAGGACUGUGCCAAUACCACGGUUCGAUGACGGUACCCGCAGAAUAAGCACCGGCUAACUACGUG
rnacentral:rRNA from 1 species